UGUUCUUUAAAUAGGGACUUGUAUCAACGGCAUCACGAGGGUUGCACUGUCUCCUUUUUCUAAUCAGUGAAACUAAUCUCCCCGUGAAGAAGCGAGGAUAUUACUAUAAGACGAGAAGACCCCAUGGAGCUUUAAACCCAACUACAUCCCUAUCCCCAACAACUACUUAACCAAUUGGGUAUUGUAUGCUUGGUUUUAGGUUGGGGCGACCAUGGAGUAAAAAAUAACCUCCACGAUGAAUGGGCUUACCCCCUUAUCUAAGAGCUACACCUCUAAGAAUUAAAAUAUUAAUAUAAAAUGAUCCUUUCUUGAUCAACGGACCAAGUUACCCUGGGGAUAACAGCGCAAUCCAUUU
rnacentral:rRNA from 1 species